GGAGAGGUGGCCGAGUGGUCUAAGGCGCACGCCUGGAGAGCGUGUAUCCCUCAAAAGGGGAUCAAGGGUUCGAAUCCCUUUCUCUCCG
rnacentral:tRNA from 1 species